rnacentral:rRNA from 1 species
UUAAGCGACUAAGCGUACACGGUGGAUGCCCUGGCAGUCAGAGGCGAUGAAGGACGUGCUAAUCUGCGAUAAGCGUCGGUGAGGUGAUAUGAACCGUUAUAACCGGCGAUUUCCGAAUGGGGAAACCCAGUGUGUUUCGACACACUAUCAUUAACUGAAUCCAUAGGUUAAUGAGGCGAACCGGGGGAACUGAAACAUCUAAGUACCCCGAGGAAAAGAAAUCAACCGAGAUUCCCCCAGUAGCGGCGAGCGAACGGGGAGGAGCCCAGAGCCUGAAUCAGUGUGUGUGUUAGUGGAAGCGUCUGGAAAGGCGUGCGAUACAGGGUGACAGCCUCGUACACAAAAAUGCACAUAUUGUGAGCUCGAUGAGUAGGGCGGGACACGUGGUAUCCUGUCUGAAUAUGGGGGGACCAUCCUCCAAGGCUAAAUACUCCUGACUGACCGAUAGUGAACCAGUACCGUGAGGGAAAGGCGAAAAGAACCCCGGCGAGGGGAGUGAAAAAGAACCUGAAACCGUGUACGUACAAGCAGUGGGAGCCUCUUAAUGGGGUGACUGCGUACCUUUUGUAUAAUGGGUCAGCGACUUAUAUUCUGUAGCAAGGUUAACCGAAUAGGGGAGCCGAAGGGAAACCGAGUCUUAACUGGGCGUUAAGUUGCAGGGUAUAGACCCGAAACCCGGUGAUCUAGCCAUGGGCAGGUUGAAGGUUGGGUAACACUAACUGGAGGACCGAACCGACUAAUGUUGAAAAAUUAGCGGAUGACUUGUGGCUGGGGGUGAAAGGCCAAUCAAACCGGGAGAUAGCUGGUUCUCCCCGAAAGCUAUUUAGGUAGCGCCUCGUGAAUUCAUCUCCGGGGGUAGAGCACUGUUUCGGCAAGGGGGUCAUCCCGACUUACCAACCCGAUGCAAACUGCGAAUACCGGAGAAUGUUAUCACGGGAGACACACGGCGGGUGCUAACGUCCGUCGUGAAGAGGGAAACAACCCAGACCGCCAGCUAAGGUCCCAAAGUCAUGGUUAAGUGGGAAACGAUGUGGGAAGGCCCAGACAGCCAGGAUGUUGGCUUAGAAGCAGCCAUCAUUUAAAGAAAGCGUAAUAGCUCACUGGUCGAGUCGGCCUGCGCGGAAGAUGUAACGGGGCUAAACCAUGCACCGAAGCUGCGGCAGCGACACUAUGUGUUGUUGGGUAGGGGAGCGUUCUGUAAGCCUGUGAAGGUGGCCUGUGAGGGUUGCUGGAGGUAUCAGAAGUGCGAAUGCUGACAUAAGUAACGAUAAAGCGGGUGAAAAGCCCGCUCGCCGGAAGACCAAGGGUUCCUGUCCAACGUUAAUCGGGGCAGGGUGAGUCGACCCCUAAGGCGAGGCCGAAAGGCGUAGUCGAUGGGAAACAGGUUAAUAUUCCUGUACUUGGUGUUACUGCGAAGGGGGGACGGAGAAGGCUAUGUUGGCCGGGCGACGGUUGUCCCGGUUUAAGCGUGUAGGCUGGUUUUCCAGGCAAAUCCGGAAAACCAAGGCUGAGGCGUGAUGACGAGGCACUACGGUGCUGAAGUGACAAAUGCCCUGCUUCCAGGAAAAGCCUCUAAGCAUCAGGUAACAUCAAAUCGUACCCCAAACCGACACAGGUGGUCAGGUAGAGAAUACCAAGGCGCUUGAGAGAACUCGGGUGAAGGAACUAGGCAAAAUGGUGCCGUAACUUCGGGAGAAGGCACGCUGAUAUGUAGGUGAAGCGACUUGCUCGUGGAGCUGAAAUCAGUCGAAGAUACCAGCUGGCUGCAACUGUUUAUUAAAAACACAGCACUGUGCAAACACGAAAGUGGACGUAUACGGUGUGACGCCUGCCCGGUGCCGGAAGGUUAAUUGAUGGGGUUAGCGGUAACGCGAAGCUCUUGAUCGAAGCCCCGGUAAACGGCGGCCGUAACUAUAACGGUCCUAAGGUAGCGAAAUUCCUUGUCGGGUAAGUUCCGACCUGCACGAAUGGCGUAAUGAUGGCCAGGCUGUCUCCACCCGAGACUCAGUGAAAUUGAACUCGCUGUGAAGAUGCAGUGUACCCGCGGCAAGACGGAAAGACCCCGUGAACCUUUACUAUAGCUUGACACUGAACAUUGAGCCUUGAUGUGUAGGAUAGGUGGGAGGCUUUGAAGUGUGGACGCCAGUCUGCAUGGAGCCGACCUUGAAAUACCACCCUUUAAUGUUUGAUGUUCUAACGUUGGCCCGUAAUCCGGGUUGCGGACAGUGUCUGGUGGGUAGUUUGACUGGGGCGGUCUCCUCCUAAAGAGUAACGGAGGAGCACGAAGGUUGGCUAAUCCUGGUCGGACAUCAGGAGGUUAGUGCAAUGGCAUAAGCCAGCUUGACUGCGAGCGUGACGGCGCGAGCAGGUGCGAAAGCAGGUCAUAGUGAUCCGGUGGUUCUGAAUGGAAGGGCCAUCGCUCAACGGAUAAAAGGUACUCCGGGGAUAACAGGCUGAUACCGCCCAAGAGUUCAUAUCGACGGCGGUGUUUGGCACCUCGAUGUCGGCUCAUCACAUCCUGGGGCUGAAGUAGGUCCCAAGGGUAUGGCUGUUCGCCAUUUAAAGUGGUACGCGAGCUGGGUUUAGAACGUCGUGAGACAGUUCGGUCCCUAUCUGCCGUGGGCGCUGGAGAACUGAGGGGGGCUGCUCCUAGUACGAGAGGACCGGAGUGGACGCAUCACUGGUGUUCGGGUUGUCAUGCCAAUGGCACUGCCCGGUAGCUAAAUGCGGAAGAGAUAAGUGCUGAAAGCAUCUAAGCACGAAACUUGCCCCGAGAUGAGUUCUCCCUGACUCCUUGAG